GGAAUAUUGGACAAUGGGCGCAAGCCUGAUCCAGCCAUGCCGCGUGUGUGAAGAAGGCCUUCGGGUUGUAAAGCACUUUUGCCCGGAAAGAAAAGCACUGGGUUAAUACCCUGGUGUUCUGACGGUACCGGAAGAAUAAGCACCGGCUAACUUCGUGACGGCAGCCGCGGUAAUACGAAGGGUGCAAGCGUUACUCGGAAUUACUGGGCGUAAAGCGUGCGUAGGUGGUUUGUUAAGUCUGAUGUGAAAGCCCUGGGCUCAACCUGGGAAUUGCAUUGGAUACUGGCGAGCUAGAGUGCGGUAGAGGAUGGCGGAAUUCCCGGUGUAGCAGUGAAAUGCGUAGAGAUCGGGAGGAACAUCUGUGGCGAAGGCGGCCAUCUGGACCAGCACUGACACUGAGGCACGAAAGCGUGGGGAGCAAAC
rnacentral:rRNA from 1 species